rnacentral:rRNA from 1 species
UACGGGGGGGGCAAGCGUUGUUCGGAAUUACUGGGCGUAAAGGGCUCGUAGGCGGCCAACUAAGUCAGACGUGAAAUCCCUCGGCUUAACCGGGGAACGGCGUCUGAUACUGGAUGGCUUGAAUCCGGGAGAGGGAUGCGGAAUUCCAGGUGUAGCGGUGAAAUGCGUAGAUAUCUGGAGGAACACCGGUGGCGAAGGCGGCAUCCUGGACCGGCAUUGACGCCGAGGAGCGAAAGCCAGGGGAGCAAACGGG